rnacentral:lncRNA from 1 species
GUUUUUAGCAGAAAGGAUCAACACAAUUUGUUUGGACCUUAGAAUCACGUAGAAAGAGCACUCUUGAAAUGUCAACUCUUGCGAAGGGUUCUAGAGACAAGAUAAUCCUCGAGACUGAGAGAGAGAGAGAGAAGGAGAUUGAGAGGAUCUGAGUCUGCGGUGCUCUCUGUCUCUGCCGAGCUCUUCCCUUGAGGGCAGAGCUGAAGAGACCCGCCCUUCUCCGGCUGCGUUUUGCCGCCCUUCCUGUUAGCACGAACCCGGUGAGGGUCAGAGGCAGAGAAAAGCGUGAUUGUUUUCGUGUGUUUGUUUUCCAGAAGCCGGGGAGAGAGAAAGUGAACUCCACAGACCAACGGUGCAAAGGCUCUGGGAGGUGAGCAGGGGCCAGUUCCACUGUCACCAGGGAUGGAGUCAUCCUGGGCCCGUGUACCCUCCAUGCUGGACAUGUUUGGAAUGACCUCAGGACUUAGCUUCUCCCUUUCAAAAGCAGUUGCUCUCAAAGAUGGCGUGGUGAUGUCUAAAGAAUUCAGGAUUUGGAUUCAGAAUCCCCAAGUCUUGGUCUAGGCUCUUUCGCACACACACGGUGUGCAAAAACAUCUUCAUCACGAAUGCUUAGAUUCAAGGACAGGUCAUUUUCCCAUUGCAAGAUGGAUUGAGGUCAUGAGAAGAGCAAGAGUUUUGAGGCCACAUGACCUAGGGUUUGAAUUGUGACCCAGCCCUUUAUUAGAUGAGCUGCUCUCUGACUCAAGCUGUGACCCAUCUUCUUGAGUCUCAGUGUCCACCUUGCUGGAAUACUAAUAAUGUCUACCUCACAAUGUAGUCACCAGUUUUCAGUGAAAGCAUGGAAGGCUUGGCAUGCCUGACGCAAGAUUAGGGAUUUUUUUAGCAUCUCUAAAUUUAACUUUUUCUUUGCAAGGGAGGGAUAAUAAUAUUUAUUCAAUAUCUAUGACACAAGUAGUAUUGAACAUAUAUUUGGUACCAGGUACUCUUGUACUCUUCUAGGAAGGGGAAGCAGCAAAGAAUAAAACAAAGAUUUUGGCCCUUGUGGAGGUUAAAUUCUUGCGGAGGAGACCGACGGCAGACAGGGUGAAUAAGCAAAAUAUAGAGUAUGUCAGACAGUGCUGGGCACUAAGGAGAAAAAGAUAAGGCAGGGUUGUUGAAAGGAUUAAAUAAGAUAACAUAUAAAAUGUUCCUAAUCAGUGUCUGGC